CGAGGGGUGUCCUGUAAGGACUGAGAUGGCGCGAGCCGAACCCUUUGAACCUGAUCUGGGUCAUGCCAGCGAAGGGACGGGU
rnacentral:ncRNA from 1 species